AGUACGUGAAACUGCUUAGAGGUUAAGCCUGAUGAACCUGAAUAUCCAUUAAUGGAAAAUUCAUCACUAAUUAUAUAAUAUAAAUAUUAAUAUUAUAAAAAUGGUGUGCAUUUUUUCCAUAAAGGACAUUGUAAUUGGUUAAUAAAUUAAAAGUUUAUCAUAAAAUUCAUUAUAAUAGAUUAUUCUAAUUAGAUUUCUUUUAAUUUAAUAUUGAAUAAAUUUUAUGAAUUUGAUAAACUGUUGACCAAUUUAUAUAUAAUAAUGUUCAAAAAAAUUUCUUUGAAAUUUUUAUAAUAAUUAUUUAUAUAUUCUUUGAAUAUAUAUUUAUUUAUUAUAUACAUUUUUAUGAUUUACAAUGCUAUAAAUUCAGGAUACCUUCGGGACCCGUCUUGAAACACGGACCAAGGAGUCUAACAUAUGUGCAAGUCGUUGAGUAAUUUAAAUAAAACUCAAAGGCAUAAUUAACUUAACUGAUAUAUUUUAUUUAUAUGGGAUUAAUUUAUAUAAUAUUUUUAUAUAUUUUAUAAAUUCAAUCCCAGGGCGUUCUAUAUAGUUAUGCAUAAUAAUAUUUUAUAUUAUUUAUGUCUCUAACUG
rnacentral:rRNA from 1 species